rnacentral:misc_RNA from 1 species
GAAGUGUAUCCAUGGUAGAAUUGUCGCCAAGUCAGGCUGAUUAAUUUAACUGUUAGAACUCAUUCCAUUAAUGGGAUACACAAAGGCAAAUAGAACAAUGAAAUAGAGAUUUCUGUACUUGUAUCUACGCCAAUGUUGAUAGGUUUUUCAUGGCUAGUUGUAAACAUCAUCAUGAAGUGAGAGAUUAAGAGGCUUAUCUGAGGCCUCUUGGACUACUGAACCAUGUCCA